rnacentral:rRNA from 1 species
GUGGGGAAUUUUGGACAAUGGGCGCAAGCCUGAUCCAGCAAUGCCGCGUGCAGGAAGAAGGCCUUCGGGUUGUAAACUGCUUUUGUACGGAACGAAACGGUCCGGGUUAAUACCCUGGGCUAAUGACGGUACCGUAAGAAUAAGCACCGGCUAACUACGUGCCAGCAGCCGCGGUAAUACGUAGGGUGCAAGCGUUAAUCGGAAUUACUGGGCGUAAAGCGUGCGCAGGCGGUUUUGUAAGACAGGCGUGAAAUCCCCGGGCUCAACCUGGGAAUUGCGCUUGUGACUGCAAGGCUGGAGUGCGGCAGAGGGGGAUGGAAUUCCGCGUGUAGCAGUGAAAUGCGUAGAUAUGUGGAGGAACACCGAUGGCGAAGGCAAUCCCCUGGGCCUGCACUGACGCUCAUGCACGAAAGCGUGGGGAGCAAACAGGAUUAGAUACCCUGGUAGUCC